CAGAGGGGGCAAGCGUUGUUCGGAAUUACUGGGCGUAAAGGGCGCGUAGGCGGCCCUCUAAGUCAGACGUGAAAUCCCUCGGCUCAACCGGGGAACUGCGUCUGAGACUGGGGGGCUUGAAUUCGGGAGAGGGAUGUGGAAUUCCAGGUGUAGCGGUGAAAUGCGUAGAUAUCUGGAGGAACACCGGUGGCGAAGGCGGCAUCCUGGACCGAGAUUGACGCUGAUGCGCGAAAGCCAGGGGAGCAAACGGGAUUAGAUACCCCGGUAGUCCUGGCCCUAAACGAUGAAUGCUUGGUGUGGCGGGUAUCGAUCCCUGCCGUGCCGAAGCUAACGCAUUAAGCAUUCCGCCUGGGGAGUACGGUCGCAAGGCUG
rnacentral:rRNA from 1 species